rnacentral:rRNA from 1 species
AUACGUAGGGGGCAAGCGUUGUCCGGAAUGAUUGGGCGUAAAGGGCGCGUAGGCGGCCUGUUAAGUCUGGAGUGAAAGUCCUGCUUUUAAGGUGGGAAUUGCUUUGGAAACUGGCGGGCUGGAGUGCAGGAGAGGUUAGUGGAAUUCCUAGUGUAGCGGUGAAAUGCGUAGAUAUUAGGAGGAACACCAGUAGCGAAGGCGGCUUUCUGGACUGUAACUGACACUGAGGCACGAAAGCGUGGGGAGC